rnacentral:rRNA from 1 species
CGGGAGGCGACAGUGGGGAAUUUUGGACAAUGGGGGCAACCCCUGAUCCAGCAAUGCCGCGUGCAGGAAGAAGGCCUUCGGGUUGUAAACUGCUUUUGUACGGAACGAAAAGGCUCUGGUUAAUACCUGGGGCACAUGACGGUACCGUAAGAAUAAGCACCGGCUAACCUACGUGCCAGCAGCCGCGGUAAAUCUUGCUGAAA